UGCUUCGGCAGCACAUAUAUUAUAUUAAAAGCAGAGCGAUAACAGAGGUUAGCAUGGCCCCUGUGCAAGGAUGACAUGCAAAUUCGUGAAGCAUUCCAUAUUUUU
rnacentral:snRNA from 1 species